rnacentral:rRNA from 1 species
AUUGAACGCUGGCGGCAUGCCUAACACAUGCAAGUCGAACGGCAGCACAGCUUUGCACCGCAAGGUGCAGAGUGGGUGGCGAGUGGCGGACGGGUGAGUAAUACGUAGGGAUCUGCCUUUUAGAGGGGGAUAACCCGGGGAAACUCGGGCUAAUACCACAUGAUCUCGAGAGAGCAAAGGGGGGGCAAGGACCUUUCGCUAAAAGAUGAACCUACGUCGGAUUAGCUAGUUGGUAGGGUAACGGCCUACCAAGGCGAUGAUCCGUAGCUGGUCUGAGAGGACGGACAGCCACACUGGGACUGAGACACGGCCCAGACUCCUACGGGAGGCAGCAGUGGGGAAUAUUGGACAAUGGGGGAAACCCUGAUCCAGCAAUGCCGCGUGUGUGAAGAAGGCCUGCGGGUUGUAAAGCACUUUAGGUGAGGAGGAAAUGUUAGUGUCUAACAAGCACUAACUAUGACGCUACUCACAGAAUAAGCACCGGCUAACUCUGUGC